UAUUUCGUAGUUUAGUGGGUAGAACACCCCGUUCAUGUUUGGGAGACCCAGGUCCGACUCCUGGCAAGAUAU